UGGGGGAAUAUUGCACAAUGGGGGGAAACCCUGAUGCAGCGACGCCGCGUGAGUGAAGAAGUAUUUCGGUAUGUAAAGCUCUAUCAGCAGGGAAGAUAAUGACGGUACCUGACUAAGAAGCCCCGACUAACUACGUGCCAGCAGCCGCGGUAAUACGUAUGGAGCAAGCGUUAUCCGGAUUUACUGGGUGUAAAGGGAGCGCAGGCGGCAGGCCAAGUCAGAUGUGAAAACCCGGGGCUCAACCCCGGGACUGCAUUUGAAACUGGUCGGCUGGAGUGCGGGAGAGGCAAGUGGAAUUCCUAGUGUAGCGGUGAAAUGCGUAGAUAUUAGGAGGAACACCAGUGGCGAAGGCGGCUUGCUGGACCGUAACUGACGCUGAGGCUCGAAAGCGUGGGGAGC
rnacentral:rRNA from 1 species